rnacentral:rRNA from 1 species
GUAGGUGAACCUGCGGAAGGAUCAUUACCGAGUGCGGGCUGCCUCCGGGCGCCCAACCUCCCACCCGUGACUACCUAACACUGUUGCUUCGGCGGGGAGCCCCCUAGGGGCGAGCCGCCGGGGACCACUGAACUUCAUGCCUGAGAGUGAUGCAGUCUGAGCCUGAAUACAAAUCAGUCAAAACUUUCAACAAUGGAUCUCUUGGUUCCGGCAUCGAUGAAGAACGCAGCGAACUGCGAUAAGUAAUGUGAAUUGCAGAAUUCAGUGAAUCAUCGAGUCUUUGAACGCACAUUGCGCCCCCUGGCAUUCCGGGGGGCAUGCCUGUCCGAGCGUCAUUGCUGCCCUCAAGCCCGGCUUGUGUGUUGGGUCGUCGUCCCCCCCGGGGGACGGGCCCGAAAGGCAGCGGCGGCACCGUGUCCGGUCCUCGAGCGUAUGGGGCUUUGUCACCCGCUCGAUUAGGGCCGGCCGGGCGCCAGCCGGCGUCUCCAACCUUAUUUUUCUCAGGUUGACCUCGGAUCAGGUAGGGAUACCCGCUGAACUUAAGCAUAUCAAUAAGCGGAGGAAAAGAAACCAACCGGGAUUGCCUCAGUAACUGCGA